UGUGAGAAUUACAUAUUUGUUGGCUGUCUUGUUCAUACUUUUUUUUUUUUUUUACAAUCAUUGAGAUUUGAAGGCAGCCCUAAAAUCAUUAAAUCACACAGCAAGGAUAUUACCUGGAACACAUCACACAGCAGACCUAUUAGUAAGGGGCGAAAUAUCCUCUUCAUUAAGCACCAUGGCUUUUGUGGCAGGUGUUCUCACCGUAAACUUCAAGCAACUGUGUUUAAUCGAUACUGAGAUGACAAGGGAGCUUUAUAUAGAGGCUGAAAUUUGUUUUUCAAUUUUGAAUAUUGUCUUGGAACUAUGAAUGCUGCUUGAAACGUUUCAAGACCCAAGAUUACAUUCAAUAGAUUAUUUUUUCGAAGCAUUUUCUCGUAUAUAGAUGUGUAAUAGCUGUAUGUGUAUAUCUGUAUCUUUAUAUAUGUAAAUAAAUGUAGAUUAUAGAUUAGCUUCUCAAUGUAAUUAGAACUCUUUGACUAUUAGAAGUCUUUAUUUACAUCGGUAAUAGACUAUUAGCCACAAUUAAUUCGACU